rnacentral:rRNA from 1 species
AACGAACGCUGGCGGCAUGCCUAACACAUGCAAGUCGAACGAGACCUUCGGGUCUAGUGGCGCACGGGUGCGUAACGCGUGGGAACCUGCCCUUAGGUUCGGAAUAACUCCCCGAAAGGGGUGCUAAUACCGGAUAAUGUCUUCGGACCAAAGAUUUAUCGCCUUUGGAUGGGCCCGCGUUGGAUUAGCUAGUUGGUAGGGUAAAAGCCUACCACGGCGACGAUCCAUAGCUGGUCUGAGAGGAUGAUCAGCCACACUGGGACUGAGACACGGCCCAGACUCCUACGGGAGGCAGCAGUGGGGAAUAUUGGACAAUGGGCGAAAGCCUGAUCCAGCAAUGCCGCGUGUGUGAUGAAGGCCUUAGGGUUGUAAAGCUCUUUUACCCGGGAUGAUAAUGACAGUACCGGGAGAAUAAGCUCCGGCUAACUCCGUG